AGUGAACGCUGGCGGUAGGCCUAACACAUGCAAGUCGAACGGCAGCACAGUAAGAGCUUGCUCUUACGGGUGGCGAGUGGCGGACGGGUGAGGAAUACAUCGGAAUCUACUUUUUCGUGGGGGAUAAUGUAGGGAAACUUACGCUAAUACCGCAUACGACCUACGGGUGAAAGCAGGGGAUCUUCGGACCUUGCGCGAUUCAAUGAGCCGAUGUCGGAUUAGCUAGUUGGCGGGGUAAAGGCCCACCAAGGCGACGAUCCGUAGCUGGUCUGAGAGGAUGAUCAGCCACACUGGAACUGAGACACGGUCCAGACUCCUACGGGAGGCAGCAGUGGGGAAUAUUGGACAAUGGGCGCAAGCCUGAUCCAGCCAUACCGCGUGGGUGAAGAAGGCCUUCGGGUUGUAAAGCCCUUUUGUUGGGAAAGAAAAGCAGCAGGUUAAUACCCCGCUGUUCUGACGGUACCCAAAGAAUAAGCACCGGCUAACUUCGUG
rnacentral:rRNA from 1 species